rnacentral:rRNA from 18 species
UUAAAAAGCUCGUAGUUGGAUUUCUGGGUCGCUGGAUGGCCCCCCGCCUCACGGCGGUGGUCUGGCCGACUCCUAGCGUCCCAUCCUCGGGUGGGUCCUGCUUGGCAUUAGGUUGUUGGGCAGGGGAAGCCCGUCUUUUACUGUGAAAAAAUUAGAGUGUUCAAAGCAGGCUUAGGCCGUUGAAUACAUUAGCAUGGAAUAAUGAGAUAGGACC